rnacentral:misc_RNA from 1 species
UCUCCGUAGGUGAACCUGCGGAAGGAUCAUUAUUGUAUAACCGAGGUGCGAGGGCUGUCGCUGACCCGAAAGGUCGUGCACGCCCGAGUGCCCUCACACACAUCCAUCUCACCCCUAUGUGCACCACCGCGUGGGUCCCCCUUUGGCUUGUUCGGAGGGGGGCUUACGUUUUCACACAAACUUUGUAUGCAGUGUAGAAUGUAUUUUUUGUUUUUGCGAUCACGCAAUCAAUACAACUUUCAACAACGGAUCUCUUGGCUCUC